rnacentral:lncRNA from 1 species
UAUGUGCUUACAUGGUGCUUCUAUAUAUGAUUUGGAUGAAUCCAAUUCAGACUGGCUUGGCCAAAAUUAGUAUAUCUAAUUCAAUUAGUUUAUGAAAUCAAUAAUUAACGACAUAAGGAGAGAGAGUUGUGGGUGGUUGGAUGGGGGAAACAAGUGUGUGUGUGUGUGUGUGUGUGUGUAUGUAUGUAUGUAGAGAGUGAGAGAGACGGAGAGAGGGGGAGAGAGAGACUACGUGCAUUAUAUUAAUUCCUUGAAAAAGGAGUUAGUGAUUCAAAAUCAUUGAUAGACUGUCCAAAUUCAAGAUCCAAACUAGUGAAUAUGAUCUACGUCCAUUUCAUCUAUUUUUUCUAGAGCUUCCUGUUUUUCGAAACAAUGGGAAGGGUCUUCUUCGGCAGAUCCCCCUUGUUCCUAUUUAGUCUCCUUUAUCGGAAGUUGUUUCUACACCACUUUUCUUCCUUAAUUUCUCCCCUAUCUUCUGUUUCUAAGGUUUCUUU